rnacentral:rRNA from 1 species
AUUGAACGCUGGCGGCAGGCCUAACACAUGCAAGUCGAACGAGCGGCGGACGGGUGAGUAAUGUCUGGGAAACUGCCUGAUGGAGGGGGAUAACUACUGGAAACGGUAGCUAAUACCGCAUACUAUCGGAUGUACCCAGAUGGGAUUAGCUAGUAGGUGGGGUAAAGGCUCACCUAGGCGACGAUCCCUAGCUGGUCUGAGAGGAUGAUCAGCCACACUGGGACUGAUACAAGGUCCAGACUCCUACGGGAGGCAGCAGUGGGGAAUAUUGCACAAUGGGCGCAAGCCUGAUACAGCCAUGCCGAGUGUAUGAAGAAGGCCUUCGGGUUGUAAAGUACUUUCAGCGGGGAGGCGUUACCCGCAGAAGAAGCACCGGCUAACUCCGUGCCAGCAGCCGCGGUAAUUA